rnacentral:lncRNA from 1 species
ACAUCAGAAUGGUCUCAUCCAAUAGCAGAGUGGCAGCUUAUAGACUACAAUCUUACCUGGUAUGCCAGAAAAAUUGUAAAUUGUCAGUAAUUUAAGUGCAUUGCUAUAAUUGUUUCUAUAAUCUCAACAUACUAUGAAGUAAACAAAAUUAUGGAGGAGAUGAAUACUACAGAGGAAGUAAUAACUAACACAACAUCUUCUGUAACUGAGAAUUCAUGCUGCCUCAGCAUUGCCAAAAAGAUAAAAAACAUAACCUCCUUUAGUUUUAAAGAAGUUUUUGUCGAUGAGAAAAUAGCUAUUGAUACAUGUUGUGAAAUUGGUUUAUUGCCUAAACGUGAUGACAAAAGAAAAGUACCAUGUCCUAAAUGUGGAGGUAAUAAUAUAUCAUUUUUAGAUUUUAUUUCUAUUCAUAGCUAUUAAAUUGUAUAUAAAGGGUUUUUCCAAAGUCCAC